rnacentral:rRNA from 1 species
AUUGAACGCUGGCGGCAGGCCUAACACAUGCAAGCCGGACGGUAGCACAGAGGAGCUUGCUCCUCGGGUGACGAGUGGCGGACGGGUGAGUAAUGUCUGGGGAUCUGCCCGAUAGAGGGGGAUAACCACUGGAAACGGUGGCUAAUACCGCAUAACGUCGCAAGACCAAAGAGGGGGACCUUCGGGCCUCUCACUAUCGGAUGAACCCGGAUGGGAUUAGCUAGUAGGCGGGGUAACGGCCCACCUAGGCGACGAUCCCUAGCUGGUCUGAGAGGAUGACCAGACACACUGGAACUGAGACACGGUCCAGACUCCUACGGGAGGCAGCAGUGGGGAAUAUUGCACAAUGGGCGCAAGCCUGAUGCAGCCAUGCCGCGUGUAUGAAGAAGGCCUUCGUGUUGUAAAGUACUUUCAGCGGGGAGGAAGGCGAUGUGGUUAAUAACCGCAUUGAUUGACGUUACCCGCAGAAGAAGCACCGGCUAACUCCGUGACAGCCGCCGCCGUAA